rfam:Bacillus anthracis str. 'Ames Ancestor', complete genome.
CGAAAAACGUUGAUAGAGAAGAGUAGCUUACAAAAUCGCCAUAUAGGGAGAGAAUGCCUUAGACUGAAAGCAUUCUUAUGGUAGACGGAAGUGAAUUCACCUCUGGAGUUGACGCCAGGACCAUGUAUAUGUAAAGGCGUUCCGGUCAGAAUUGAUCGUUAUAACUAAUGAGUGGGCAGACAUGUUCUGUCAAUUUAGGGUGGUACCGCGAAUUUACCUCGUCCCUUUU